CCAGUGCCCCCCCAGUCUGCCCCAGUACCCCCAGCACCCCAAACGGGUGCCGCCUCCGCCGCCCCAAAACCGCCCGCACGCCGCCCCCUCACCCCGGAGUUGCAGCCCACAUCGAGCCCGAGGAGCGGGCGGGUGGCCGCGGGGAAGAGGCUGCGCAGGAGCCCCUGGGGCAGGAGGCUGACGCGGCCCUCGGGCGGGUGGAACCGGGAAUAAUUCGGGAAGUUCCCGUAGGGAGCCGCGCCGGGCUCGGUGCCGCCCCGGCUGAUGGCCGCCGCCAUCUUCGCGCCGCGCCGCGUGCCGGGCGGGAACCGCGGCCGUAGAGAAACGUUCCGGGGCAGAAACGGCCCGGGCAGCGACACGGGACAGCGACAGCGACAAGGGACAGCGACACGGGACAGCGACAGCGACAAGGGACAGCGACACGGGACAGCGACAGCGACAGCGACACGGGACAGCGACAGCGACAGCGACAGCGACACGGGACAGCGACAGCGACACGGGACAGCGACAGCGACAAGGGACAGCGACACGGGACAGCGACACGGGACAGCGACAGCGACACGGGACAGCGACACGGGACAGCGACAGCGACACGGGACAGCGACAGCGACACGGGACAGCGACACGGGACAGCGACAAGGGACAGGGACACGGGACAGCGACAGCGACACGGGACAGCGACACGGGACAGCGACAAGGGACAGGGACACGGGACAGCGGCACGGGACAGCGGCACGGGACAGCGACACGGGACAGCGACACGGGACAGCGACACGGGACAGGGGCACGGGACAGCGACAGCGACACGGGACAGCGACACGGGACAGCAACAGCGACACGGGACAGCGACCGCGACAGCGACACGGGACAGCGACACGGGACAGGGGCACGGGACAGCGACAGCGACAAGGGACAGCGACAGCGACACGGGACAGGGGCACGGGACAGCGACACGGGACAGCGGCACGGGACAUGGGACACGAGACAGCGCCACCAGGGCGGCCACAGCCCCUUGGGGCGAAGAGAUUUUGUCUAAAGACACCCGUGAAAAAUGACCC
rnacentral:lncRNA from 1 species